rnacentral:rRNA from 1 species
UACGUAGGGGGCAAGCGUUGUCCGGAUUUAUUGGGUUUAAAGGGUGCGUAGGCGGUUCCUUAAGUCAGUUGUGAAAUACGGCAGCUUAACUGUCGAGGUGCAAUUGAUACUGGGGAACUAGAGUACUGAUGAGGUAUGCGGAAUGGACGGUGUAGCGGUGAAAUGCUUAGAUAUCGUCCAGAACACCGAUAGCGAAGGCAGCAUACUAAGGAGUAACUGACGCUGAGGCACGAAAGUGUGGGGAUCAAACAGG